rnacentral:rRNA from 1 species
AACGAACGCUGGCGGCAUGCCUAACACAUGCAAGUCGAACGAGACCUUCGGGUCUAGUGGCGCACGGGUGCGUAACGCGUGGGAACCUGCCCUUAGGUUCGGAAUAACUCCCCGAAAGGGGUGCUAAUACCGGAUAAUGUCUUCGGACCAAAGAUUUAUCGCCUUCGGAUGGGCCCGCGUUGGAUUAGCUAGUUGGUAGGGUAAAAGCCUACCAAGGCGACGAUCCAUAGCUGGUCUGAGAGGAUGAUCAGCCACACUGGGACUGAGACACGGCCCAGACUCCUACGGGAGGCAGCAGUGGGGAAUAUUGGACAAUGGGCGAAAGCCUGAUCCGGCAAUGCCGCGUGAGUGAUGAAGGCCUUAGGGUUGUAAAGCUCUUUUACCCGGGAUGAUAAUGACAGUACCGGGAGAAUAAGCUCCGGCUAACUCCGUG